rnacentral:rRNA from 1 species
UACGUAGGGUGCGAGCGUUGUCCGGAAUUAUUGGGCGUAAAGGGCUCGUAGGCGGUCUGUUGCGUCAGGAGUGAAAACUCGGGGCUUAACCCCGAGCCUGCUUCUGAUACGGGCAGACUAGAGGUAUGCAGGGGAGAACGGAAUUCCUGGUGUAGCGGUGAAAUGCGCAGAUAUCAGGAGGAACACCAGUGGCGAAGGCGAGUCCCUGGACGAUACCUGACACUGAGGCACGAAAGCCAAGGGAGCAAACAGG